AGAGUUUGAUCAUGGCUCAGAUUGAACGCUGGCGGCAGGCUUAACACAUGCAAGUCGAGCGGUAGCACAGGGGAGCUUGCUCUCUGGGUGACGAGCGGCGGACGGGUGAGUAAUGUCUGGGAAACUGCCUGAUGGAGGGGGAUAACUACUGGAAACGGUAGCUAAUACCGCAUAACGUCGCAAGACCAAAGAGGGGGACCUUCGGGCCUCUUGCCAUCAGAUGUGCCCAGAUGGGAUUAGCUAGUAGGUGGGGUAAUGGCUCACCUAGGCGACGAUCCCUAGCUGGUCUGAGAGGAUGACCAGCCACACUGGAACUGAGACACGGUCCAGACUCCUACGGGAGGCAGCAGUGGGGAAUAUUGCACAAUGGGCGCAAGCCUGAUGCAGCCAUGCCGCGUGUGUGAAGAAGGCCUUCGGGUUGUAAAGCACUUUCAGCGAGGAGGAAGGUGGUGAGCUUAAUACGCUCAUCAAUUGACGUUACUCGCAGAAGAAGCACCGGCUAACUCCGUGCCAGCAGCCGCGGUAAUACGAAGGGGGCUAGCGUUGCUCGGAAUUACUGGGCGUAAAGGGAGCGUAGGCGGACAUUUAAGUCAGGGGUGAAAUCCCGGGGCUCAACCUCGGAAUUGCCUUUGAUACUGGGUGUCUUGAGUAUGAGAGAGGUGUGUGGAACUCCGAGUGUAGAGGCGAAAUUCGUAGAUAUUCGGAAGAACACCAGUGGCGAAGGCGACACACUGGCUCAUUACUGACGCUGAGGCUCGAAAGCGUGGGGAGCAAACAGGAUUAGAUACCCUGGUAGUCCACGCCGUAAACGAUGAUUGCUAGUUGUCGGGAUGCAUGCAUUUCGGUGACGCAGCUAACGCAUUAAGCAAUCCGCCUGGGGAGUACGGUCGCAAGAUUAAAACUCAAAGGAAUUGACGGGGGCCCGCACAAGCGGUGGAGCAUGUGGUUUAAUUUCGAAGUAACGCGCAGAACCUUACCACCUUUUGACAUGCCUGGACCGCCAGAGAGAUCUGGCUUUCCCUUCGGGACUAGGACAC
rnacentral:rRNA from 1 species